rnacentral:rRNA from 1 species
UACCAGCACCCCGAGUGGUCGGGACGUUUAUUGGGCCUAAAGCAUCCGUAGCCGGUUCUACAAGUCUUCCGUUAAAUCCAGCUGCUUAACAGAUGGGCUGCGGAAGAUACUAUGGAGCUAGGAGGCGGGAGAGGCAAGCGGUACUCGAUGGGUAGGGGUAAAAUCCGGUGAUCCAUUGAAGACCACCAGUGGCGAAGGCGGCUUGCCAGAACGCGCUCGACGGUGAGGGAUGAAAGCUGGGGGAGCAAACCGG